rnacentral:rRNA from 1 species
UUCGAUGGAAAGUAGUAGUGGCGAACGGGUGAGUAACACGUGAGCACCUACCUUUCAGUGGGGGACAACAUUUGGAAACGAAUGCUAAUACCGCAUAAGGUCGCAUGGCCAAAGGUUAUCCGCUGAAAGAUGGGCUCGCGUCCGAUUAGCUAGAUGGUGAGGUAACGGCCCACCAUGGCGACGAUCGGUAGCCGGACUGAGAGGUUGAACGGCCACAUUGGGACUGAGACACGGCCCAGACUCCUACGGGAGGCAGCAGUGGGGAAUAUUGCACAAUGGGGGAAACCCUGAUGCAGCGACGCCGCGUGGAGGAAGAAGGUCUUCGGAUUGUAAACUCCUGUCCCAGGGGACGAUUGACGGUACCCUGGGAGGAAGCACCGGCUAACUACGUGCCAGCAGCCGCGGUAAAACGUAGGGUGCAAGCGUUGUCCGGAAUUACUGGGUGUAAAGGGAGCGCAGGCGGAUUGGCAAGUUGGGAGUGAAAUCUAUGGGCUCAACCCAUAAAUGCUUUCAAAACUGUCAGUCUUGAGUGGUGUAGAGGUAGGCGGAAUUCCCGGUGUAGCGGUGGAAUGCGUAGAUAUCGGGAGGAACACCAGUGGCGAAGGCGGCCUACUGGGCACUAACUGACGCUGAGGCUCGAAAGCAUGGGUAGCAAACAGGAUUAGAUACCCUGGUAGUCCAUGCCGUAAACGAUGAUUACUAGGUGUGGGAGGAUUGACCUUCCGUGCGCAGUUAACACAAUAAGUA